rnacentral:rRNA from 3 species
GCUCAGAUUGAACGCUAGCGGGAUGCCUUACACAUGCAAGUCGAACGGCAGCACGGACUUCGGUCUGGUGGCGAGUGGCGAACGGGUGAGUAAUGUAUCGGAACGUGCCUAGUAGCGGGGGAUAACUACGCGAAAGCGUAGCUAAUACCGCAUACGCCCUACGGGGGAAAGCAGGGGAUCGCAAGACCUUGCACUAUUAGAGCGGCCGAUAUCGGAUUAGCUAGUUGGUGGGGUAACGGCUCACCAAGGCGACGAUCCGUAGCUGGUUUGAGAGGACGACCAGCCACACUGGGACUGAGACACGGCCCAGACUCCUACGGGAGGCAGCAGUGGGGAAUUUUGGACAAUGGGGGAAACCCUGAUCCAGCCAUCCCGCGUGUGCGAUGAAGGCCUUCGGGUUGUAAAGCACUUUUGGCAGGAAAGAAACGUUCCGGGUUAAUACCCCGGGAAACUGACGGUACCUGCAGAAUAAGCACCGGCUAACUACGUGCCAGCAGCCGCGGUAAUACGUAGGGUGCAAGCGUUAAUCGGAAUUACUGGGCGUAAAGCGUGCGCAGGCGGUUCGGAAAGAAAGAUGUGAAAUCCCAGAGCUUAACUUUGGAACUGCAUUUUUAACUACCGAGCUAGAGUGUGUCAGAGGGAGGUGGAAUUCCGCGUGUAGCAGUGAAAUGCGUAGAUAUGCGGAGGAACACCGAUGGCGAAGGCAGCCUCCUGGGAUAACACUGACGCUCAU